GGUCUCCAUGCAAAAUCAACAGUCCACCUGCACACAAUGAAUUGCAGGAUUGGGGCCAUAAUCUAAAAGAUAAGUUUCAGAGUAGCAGCCGUGUU